rnacentral:rRNA from 1 species
AUUGAACGCUAGCGGGAUGCUUUACACAUGCAAGUCGAACGAGUGGCGGACGGGUGAGUAAUAUAUCGGAACGUGCCCAGUAGCGGGGGAUAACUACUCGAAAGAGUGGCUAAUACCGCAUACUCUUGGAGCGGCCGAUAUCGGAUAAGCUAGUUGGGUGGGUAAAGGCUCACCAAGGAAACGAUCCGUAGCUGGUUUGAGAGGACGACCAGCCAAAUUGGGACUGAAACACGGCCCAGACCCCUACGGGAGGCAGCAGUGGGGAAUUUAGGACAAUGGGGAAAACCCUGAGCCAGACAUCCCGCGUGUAUAAGAAGGCCUUCGGAUUGUAAAGUAAGUUUGGCAGAGAAGCGGUAUCUGAAGAAUAAGCACCGGCUAACUACGAGCCAGCCGCCGCGGUAAUUC